GUUAAUUUGGCAGAUUAGUGCGAUGAAUUUAGGAUUCAUUUAUGUAAUAUUUUUACAGUUAACA
rnacentral:tRNA from 1 species